rnacentral:rRNA from 1 species
AUUGAACGCUGGCGGCAUGCUUUACACAUGCAAGUCGAACGGCAGCGCGGGCUUCGGCCUGGCGGCGAGUGGCGAACGGGUGAGUAAUGCAUCGGAACGAGCCCAGUAGUGGGGGAUAGCCCGGCGAAAGCCGGAUUAAUACCGCAUACGACCUGAGGGUGAAAGCUGGGGACCGAAAGGCCUCGCGCUAUUGGGGCGGCCGAUGUCGGAUUAGCUAGUUGGUGGGGUAAAGGCUUACCAAGGCGACGAUCCGUAGCUGGUCUGAGAGGACGACCAGCCACACUGGGACUGAGACACGGCCCAGACUCCUACGGGAGGCAGCAGUGGGGAAUUUUGGACAAUGGGGGCAACCCUGAUCCAGCCAUGCCGCGUGCGGGAAGAAGGCCUUCGGGUUGUAAACCGCUUUUGUUCGGGAAGAAAUCCUCUGGGCUAAUACCCCGGGGGGAUGACGGUACCGGAAGAAUAAGCACCGGCUAACUACGUG